GUUUGUUGUGUUAGCUUGUGGGGAAGUUUAUAAAAAAAAAAAGAGUGACAACAAAGUUUACCGGCGAAUUUCGCCGCGGAAAAUGACGAGAAUGGAUUACUUUUUUCUGUUCCUGUGGAAACUUUACCUGCUUACCAUUGUGAAACUGGAGGGGUAUACAUCGUAAUGAGGUAAGACUGGUCUCAUUUUAAAGAGGAGGAUGUUCUGAUGUGUUUUGAUAUAUGAUAGUUUGGUGGAGUUAGGUGACGGCUCCUUCAGCUUCCUCUUUUCCGGAGUCGCUCAUGUCCGCAGAGCGUUUAAAACGUGUAAAAGUGUUUAAAAUCUUUAAAAAUAUAUUAAUAUUGGUCAGUGAAAUAUUGAACACAACAUUUAGACAUGCUUUAACACCCCUGUAGCAAAAUCAGAGAAAAAUCAGUUGUUUUAUCUCGUCCUUGUGAAGUUAGAGGCUGGAGAUGACCGGUAGAGGCUCAUGCCUCGGUCUUGCCCGCACAUGUGCGUGCACCGGGCCCAAGUGGUUAAAACAAUUACAACACAACAGCAUAGCUUUUCUGUUUCCUCAGCAGCCAAGGUUUUAGUGGCGAUUGUGUUUGUGAUCGUUUUCUGUCGUUUUAAAAUGAGGUCCUCUGGAGUUGUACUUUUUCUCUUCAAUUGAAAGCUAACAUCUAGCGGUCAGGAUGAAAACUACUACAUGUAAAAUAUCAUAUUCUGCACCCCGCCUUUAUUCAGCAGAAUACUUUAAUUUUCACGGGGGACUUUGAAAUCUGCGAUAAUUUCCGCAAUCACAGAAUCGCGGAUUCCUGGAGGGUCUAAUAAUAUGUGUGUCAGAUCUGGAUGCAACUGUGCUGAUGCAACUUGUUCACUUCCUCUGAACAGGUCAGAGAACAAAUGUAAGCAGGUCUUCUUGUUUCUUCUGUUCCAGUUAAAGAAUUUAAAUCCUACAAUACUCGUCCAGCUCCAUGCUACAUCUCAUUUGAUCAGAGCCCUCUGCUAUGCUUCAUCCGACAAUCAUAUAAGUAUUCAAAGACUACAGUGUAUUCCCCAUGUAAACACAUGGUCUAAGUCAGAUUUUUUGCUGAAUCAGCAGUAUUUCCCCUCUCUUGUCUCCACCUGCACCUGUCCCCUUCUGUAGCAAAGCUUCUUUACUUGUAAUGGAGGCAGGAGUGCUUUAUUGCUCCACAGUGUACAUCACAGCACUACUCCUUAUACAAUAAUAAAAACACAGUCUGACAGAAAAUCUCAUCAACGGCGGGGUAAGAGAGAACUGAUCAAAGUCAGCCUGAUAACUUUUUUUGUCAGAAAACAUGACAUGGACAGGGAAAAAUCUGUCAAGUUUUAUGAGGUUUAGGUUUGUCCACAGGGGGCGCCAAAUACAGCACAAACAGAAAGUUCCUCACAGGAGCUUUAUGAAAGGGUUUGCCAUCUGCCGCACAUAUCAAAUAAUAAUUUGAUGACAAAAUCAGUGAUAUUUUACAUCCAUGUUUGAUAGUCCAGUCUGUACAGUUUCUAUCAGCAGAUUGACAUUGCUGUCUUGUGUGAAAAUAAGGACCAACGUGAAAUCCAGGCUGGGAAGUUAAGGGCCAGACUGCAGCUAUUAGACUUCAUAACAUUGAUUUAACAUUUGGGAUCUGUUGAAGAUAGUUAUUUUUAGCCAUUUAAUUACAAAAUUACAAAACAAAUAAAAUAGAAGAUAUUAAGUCAUACAUUAAAAGACUGAUAACAGAAACAUACAAAAGCACCAGUCUGGCCCCAGGUUGAAGUUCUCUACAGAAAGCAUCUGUUAUGUAAGCAGGGUGAUAUCGAUCUGCUGUUUUGAUUGAAUUUUGAAUGUAUAGAGGAGCACAGCAGGUUGUAAACAUGUCCAGCUCUCCCUUCAAUACCCACCCCCAUCAUUCUACCUCAGAUCCCCCCUCCCUACUUAAACAGACACCUACACAUACCACCACUGCCGUACAGUGAUCCGCAUAAUCCGACAGGCUCGGGGAGUGACUGAUAGCUAUUGUUGUGUUGGGAAGCUUUUGUCACCUGACAAAGAGCUGCAGCUUUGGCCCUCAUCCCUCUGCAUCAUCCUCUACCUCAUCCUCUCUCUCACGGGGAUAUGGGGGGGCCUCAGCGCCCCAUCACAAUGACUGAUGGAGUCUCAGGGAUGGAUGAGGAAGAAGAGGGUGGGGGUGACUGUAUACUCAAAGGCUAUCUUCAUCGCAGAGAGAACAGAGGAUUGGUAUAGAAAUGGUAAAAUUACUUAAAGUACAGUUUGUCAGCCUUCAAAGGAGGGAAACAAAACCUUUUAGGCUCCAUUGAGAAUUACCAGCUGUCUUGAUUAACACGUUGAAAAAGGUAUCGACAUCAUCAGUGGAAACUCUAACCAGCCACCGGCUCAUUUCUGCUGCUCUGACACUUUUAUUUUUGCUCAUUUCGCUUGUUUAUUGUCAUGAUAAUGAAGUCGCAGUGUUGGUGUCAUCAGGAGAAAUCUAGCAUUUUGGCCUGGUUCCACCGCUAAUGUAUGCAAGAGCUACUUUUCCACUCUCAUCACUGUCAGCUCGCCACUCGCCACCAAAAUGGCUCCUAAUUGAGCGAACUGGAAAACAGUAAGCCAAGAAUUGAGAUGUUAAUAUAGAAGAUUCAGUAUACACGCUGUGGAGUUUUAAAUGUAGCUGUGAAAUAUGCUCCUCAAUAUGUGUCUGUGAUCACCAAAUCAUCGCAUGUGAUAAAAUGUUUUUUUGUGUGUGUGUGUGUUUUAUGACAGUGAGGAUUUCAAUGUAAUGAGUGGGAGUGACUGAGCACUACUGACAAGCUUAAAGCAUCAUAAAUGUUUAGACAAUACAAACUGGCAGACUGAAUGCUUCAGAUUUAGCUUUUUUUUCUUCAGCAAAGACACAUUUUUCCUCUUUUCCUUUUAUUCCCUUUUGCUCCUUUUCUUGUAUUCAUGCCAUUUAUCUCAAUGGCCUCUCGCGGCACUGUGGGAAUAGCAGCAGCACUUGCGCCAUGUGUGAGACAAAGAGAAAGGUCUGUUUCAACACCAUCAAUCCCACAAUCCCACACAGUGAUGAGCGAGAGAUAGUCACCAUCUGUGGAUGUGUUUCUCCUCACUUUGCCCAAAAGUAAAACUGUACCCAGUGAAAGUUAAGAGUGUGAACGCCUCAGUGUGCUGUUUGUCUAGGUGUUUUGGAGAUACCUCCCACUACAUUCUACAUCGCCCUGUUUUUAAAUAGCCUGACAUUUGCAGUAGCCAUCCACAUGCGACAUUGUGUUUAGUGAUUUUGGUGUUAAAAGACAUUUUCUUCCUCCUCAUGUCUGUGUCACUCUGCCUCCGCUGCUGCUGUCUGUUUUGCCCUCUUUCCCUCUUUUUCUCUCUUCUCUCGUUCUCUGUCCCUGGCUGCAGCGCAGCAGCCAUUAGCUUUACAAAUCCAGCCUUUGAUCUCUGAUUUGGGCGGGUGCCUGGGAGAGGAGGGGUACCGGGCUGCAUGUGUGUGUGCGCGUGUGUGUGUCUGUGUGUGCGACGGGCUGUCUAUGUAGGCCAUUUGAGGGCUAGCUGGCUCUGCAGAGGAGGAGGGUUCACGACCGGUCCACUUCUGCCGAGGUAUUACAGAGGGAGUCGAUUUCCAGGGAAGAGGCCGUGAUGAUAAUGCCGCUUCAUUUGCAUUUGUACUGAGCGAAUAAGCUGCCUAAUGGUUUAAAUAUAACUCACUUAGCGCUCACUCCAAACUCCAGUUCUCUUCCCUGUACCACUGUUCCUUCAACACCCCCAUCCCACAUCCUGCUUUUCCUCCCCCCUGUCACUUAUCUCACCCUUUAGAGGCUUUCACCCUGUCUUAUCCUCGCCUCAUCUCUCCUCAGAAUAACUCCUCUACACGGACAUGUGCCCAGAUAUUACAUUAUUGAACAGAAAUCACUUUUAGCUCUUUGGCAACGGUCAGGGACUCCAAAUAGGUACUAGAGCAGUGUGAUUAUACAUACUAAGUGUUUCAGUCAUGGCUCAUUAUUUGGAUUUUUCAGUGCUGACACCAGUACCUGUGUUGUUGGGUCGAAACUGAUGACUUCUGGCAUGGUCGCUCUGAUAUUGAGAACUUCAAGGUGUAAACUUACGUAUGUUCCCAAUGAGGGUCUGUUGUUUUGAGUUUUUAAAUGAGUAGUUUCACUUAAAUGUCAUUUAAAGUAAUGUUGGUCCUUCUAUUGUUUACAUUUUUCCUCAGUAAAUCAAAAUCAAUUAAACAAAUUCAAAAAAUCUGAAACAAAAGGUCCUUUGUUGAUAAGAAGAUACCAGAAACCUGGCCCUCCACUCCUCCAUCCAUCCAUCUGUCCAUCCAGCAAGUCUUUUCCUCCUCCUCUCCUCAGAUGUAAUGAAUGGCUUCCCUCACUGCGGCGAAUUCACCUGUUUCUGCUUCAGCCUUCCUUGGCCGCAUUAAGUGGGGAUUUAUGGAGGCGGCUUCCCAUUGAACAAAACCAUUUCUCUUCCAGUUUGGUUUAACAGCACUCUUUAUUCCCUGCAGAUUUAAGGAUAGGAGGCAUGGGGUGGGUGGGUGUACGUGUGUGGGCAGGAGGGGGGCAACACCAUUAAGGGCUACGGCCCUCCCAAUUUCUCCUGCACUUAAGCUGGGAAGGCAAACAGCCCUGAGCGGUACGUUCCUAAAGAGACCUCUGUGAAUAGAUGGAUGCCUGAUGGAUCAAGUGCAGUGCUAACACAUGCAGGAGGACUGUCCCAUUUCUGGCUCCUUCACAUGAGGAGCUGCUGGAUUUCAAAUGGGACUUAAGUCGGAGUAGUUUUAUUCCCCAGCUAAGAAUAGAGAUGCACAAAUGAAAUUAGAGGCAGGUUUAAUACGCAGGGGAUGAACUGAAGUACCAGAAAACCAUCGAGACAUUUGUCCCUGAGAGCGAAUCUGUAACUGAGCCCUUUAUUGAAACUGAGCUGACAUGUUAGGGACCCUCCUAAAAUCAAACCCCAUAAAGCUGGCUGCGAUAUUUCAUAAUUAUUAAGUGGCAGAGUAUUUGGUGAAUCUUUUAACUGCCGAUGACUGUGUCAUAUGUAGCUGCAUUAGCGUCUCAUUACUUUAGCGAUAGGGAGAAGAUUCCUUAAUGCCUCUCGACAGGCCAUGAUGUAAUUACACAGUGUUUGUUGCAAGUCAACAUGAUAAUUUGUGUUUCCAAGGGAUCUGUCAUACACCCGGGACGCCGGGCGCAUAAAUGAUUCAACCCCUCAUAAAUGUCCUGAUUGAAAACAAGCUGUUGCCCAAACUAACUUAAGUAUCGUGUCAUCGCGGCACCUCGUGGCUUUAAAAUACACAGCCAAAAACAAAGAGGAAAAACAGGAAAAAAAAAAACCUCCUUUGGAAAAUUCAUCACAGUGUUUGGCGCUGUAAGGCACAAUUAUGCACGAAACCAUAAGAAAAGCUUACCUUUCACUUCUCUUUCUGCCUUUGUGUGUGUGUGUGUGUGUGAGAGAGAGAGAGAGAUCAAGAUAGGAUGAGCAUUAGGUGUAGAGAGAGAGCGAGAGUGUUUAGAGUAAGUGUGAAACUACUCUGCAAUCCCCCAGAGGCUGCCAUUGUCGACUUUACCCAUUCCCACCCUCUGAGCUCGACCUAACAAGACUACACAACAUCUGCACGGGGGCUACAGAGUUUACAUACACGGUAGAGGGUGUGUGUUUUUUUGCGAGGCGGGUGUGUGUUUGUGUGUUUGGGGGCGUAGAUUUUUGUUUUGGACUAUCUGUUUUGAAAUCUGCACGGUGGGCAGGGUAUAUUAAAGGCAGAGCGAGGUGUUCCUGCGUAGCCGCCGGCUCCGCUGCACCUCUCCAGCAUUCUGACUGUGACCCCAGCCUUCGGGUGUGUGUGUGUUUUGGAUCUCUUUGUACACACUCUCUAAGAUGUUCUCGCUCUUCUCCUCUUUUCUCCUCUUUUUUUCCCUCCUCCUCUCUCUCCUCCCUCCCUCCUCUGUGUGUUCCUUGCAGAACAGAGCCCCAGAUACUGAAGAUAUUGCCCCUGGUUUAUUUGGCCUGUCUCUCUUUUUCUCUCUUUCUCUUGCCAUAUAUAUAUCUCCCGAUUCUCCUCUCAUCUCCUUUCUUUUUCCCUUUUAUUUAUCUUCUGCAAGUCCUCUCACUUUGCGAUCAAUACAGUUUCCGCUUGAAGCCUCGCAGCCAAUCUGAGAGGAGCUGCGGGAGUUUUUGAAGUAGGGAUGCUAAACAUGUUAAACAGCAAAGAUGUUUUGAAAAUUUGGGAUCAUCGGAGAGAUGUUAAAUGUCUGAAUUUGUUUUUCCCAGUUCCCAGCUGCAUACUGUACGUGCAUCAGACGUUAUAGCUUUUCAUCAGCUAUCUUUGAUCUUGCUGUAGCUUUUUAUAUGAUAUUUCUGAUUCUUGCAUUUGAGUGUAUUAGCAAAUCACUGAAUUAGGGAUGUAGCAGUUAUCGUAACAAAAUGAACGUGUGAUAUGCAUGUUUAUAUAUUUAUGAAUUUACUUUGAAAAUCACUUUGCUUCAUUUUAAACCAACAUUGCUGGAUCUUAAAACCGUUCUUAGCUUGUGUGUGAUUCCUUCAUCGACUUGCUGGUUAAAUUUUUAAAAAGAAAAAGUGAAGUUCAUAGAUAGUCUCAGAAGUGGAUUUAUUUGUAAUAAUUUCUCACCAGGGUCUUUGGUUUUUCUUUGACAGUACAAGUACAUGCUUUUCCUGUAAAUCCUUUAACUGGAUGCUUAAAACAUGUAAGGUGAAUACCCCUAAGUGUCAUAUUUAUAGCCACGGUUAGGUUCACAGUCAAAAUGAUGGAAUCAAAUAUUGACAGGGUUUGAAUGUAUGAAAAAUAAAACACAAGUAGGUCUGAGCAGCUUUGUGGUUGACAUCAUUUUCAUCAAAUUCAUGAUUUUUAUACUUGAAUUAUAUUGAUGAAACAUCUACAAUGUCUGGGGUUUGAGGGCCAACAUUUUUUGCAAAUGGUAGUAUCCGCUAUUGCUCUUUCCAGGGCAUCUUUUUAAUGGCUCCUACAGUCACCAGGCUAAAGUUGUCCUGCAGCUCUUCCACUUCUUCACUGAUCAGUUUCCACUCCCCACAGCUGCUACUGUUGUUAACAAAGUUGAUAACAGAUGUUCUGCCUCUUCUUGAUUUUACUGACUGGUCAUGAAGACAAUGAUGAGCGGAGUAGGGAUCCAAAAAUAAGAUCCAGCUUGCUGAUGUCUGUCUGUCUGUAAGCUAGCUGGAUGGCCGGUAGAUCGCUCAAGUCAAGCGCAAAGGAUUUGCUAAAAACACUGUGGGGUUCAGUAACGUUAUGGUCCUGUAUCAAUUCAUUUAAGUCUUUCUUCUGAUGAAUUGUAAAGACAAAAGGUCAUAGUUUCAAAUCCUCGACAUUUUUGAUCUUUACCACAUACUUGUUGACUCGCUGAUGUUGGCAUGCUAACACACAAAAAUAAGAUACUGGACAUGGUUUAUGCUAGACCUUAUCCUUCAUACUAUCACCACUAAAUAUAGUAAUGGGGACAUAUCAGAAUGCAGAGUUGGCUGAAGGUGUGGCUGGGGGCUGUCUGUCAUUUAAUAUGAUAAAUGUUUUUAGUUGGAAAUGUGUUAUUUCAUUAAAUACAUAACAGAGCACUUUUCCUCCUGGCUUGGUUGGUCCUCCUUGACUUCCAAUCUGGAGCACCUUGAAAACAAGGAUGAAGAACCGCUUUUUUGUUAUCCUCAACUAACCCCACUCAGUUUGUACUCACUCCUCUUUGUUCCUGAUUCUCUGCACCUGCUCCUCUCGCUCAUACUGUCGGAUGGACGGGCGGAAGGUUGCCACAUCCCCGAUGACUGUCAUCAUCAUCGUCUGUCUGUCCGACCAGUGUUGAUGAGCCAGAAAGGCAGAGAGCCAGAAAGGCAGACAGCAGGGCUAUUGAGACAAACACAAACUGCCCCCUGCCCCUGUUUGCAUCCAACUGUCAAGUCAGUUUAAUGCAAACUUUUGAAAUGUCACAAAAUAAUAGAAUUUUAAUAGGUGUGUUGCCGUCACCUGAGUUUGGGAGGGGAUACAAUGGCUUCAUGAAUGAAUAACAAAGCAACCACCAGUCCUUUGAUAUUUAAUGAGUGUUGGGAAUGUUUUUAUCACCCAAAAGGAAAGUAUACUCUUAUGUUUCAUGUUUCAUUCAAAGUCAGUAAGAUUAAAUUGAUGAUUCAAUGUUUGAUCGUGGUACAGAUUUAUAACACUGAUUUGUGUUUUUGAAGAUUGGUCAACACAACCUUUUUUUACCCACAUUUCAGUGAACAGGAAAAAAACAAAAACAAAAAAAAAACAUUUGCCCGCACUUUUGUUGAAAAUUGUUGUAAUUUGGUAUCUUCUGUGUCAUAAGCACCAACCCCAACCCAAGAAAGUAUAAAAUAUUAAAACUAACAGUUUUAGAUGGUUAGCCAAAAUAGAGCCAGAACAACUCAUUAAAUGUUGAAAUUAAAGUAACCAGCUGAGAACAAAUGCUGAAUUGCCUUGAUCUUUAAAAUCUCAUGGUACUCCGAUUUAAACUAACAUGUCUCUGUAGUGGAGAUCACUGCACAGGCUCAAAAUCACUUCCAAAAGCCAUGGUUUGCUCCCCAUUCAUUACUGUAACUACUAAUGCAAGUUUAAACUGUUCCAUUUAGGGAGCAUACCGCAGAUAAACAUGAUCCAGAACUUCUAGAGACCAGAGCUGAGACAUUGUGGAAAACCGUAUUGGGGUCCAGUGAAUCAAAAUUUGACACUCUUUUUGGAAAUCGUGGACAGGUUGUUCUCAGCUCUGAUUCAAAGGAGGACCUCCUGGCUUGAUAUCAGCUAACACUUUAAUAACCAGCAUCUGUGGUGGUCAUGGUAUGUGCUUGCACAUGUUAAAUGGCACUAUCAAUGCUGCACAAAAUAUACAGGUUUUGGAGUUGCCAUUCUGAUAAUGAAUCAUUCAGGGAAGACCUUGCAUAUUUAAGCAGGACAAUCCCAGUUUGCACAGUUUUGCAUGUAAGACAACAACUUGGCUCUAUAGCAGAAGAGUCUGGGUGUUCUACAAUCCCACAAAAGAGAGCCUAAAUGGUUGAGUAGCUGAAAUCAAGCUGGAAUAGGACAACAUUUCACUUUUAAAACUGUGAAGACAGGUCUUUUCAGUUCCCAAAUGAGGCAAUGCAACAUAUUAGGUAACAUGAUCCCGUCCUGACUUAUAAGGCGUUGCUAGUGUCAAAAUCCACUUUUUUCAGAUUUGUUUUACUUUUGCAAUUUUAUAUGUUGUCUUGUACUCUAUUGAAUUAAAUGUAGGGUAUAUGUGACUUACACCAACAUCAGUUAACAUCAACAUUUUACUCAACUUUUUUUGUGAUGGGUGUUGUAGCUGUGUGUCUCAUCUUUUAUGAUGGAGAAAAUUUCUUAAAUGUCUUUUGAUGGGCCACUCUCCAAUUAUCAGCUAGCUAUGUUCAUUUUACGACAUUUAGUAAAAAGCUGAAAGCUGCAGUGAAUCAUUUUUUUUCUUGCGAAUUUGUAAGGAACACUCAAAAAGAAAGCAAGGAUGUGUCUAAAAUUAAAAGCCUUCACCCAAACCUGUAUCAGAGGAUGUUUGUACGUUACCCAUGAAUGUGUGUGUGUACCACACACUUCCAGAUCCAGACUAUUUAUAUGCUCAGUUUUGCUGAUGGGCCACAUGAGACAAGAGACAGAGGGGUAAACAUCAAACUGCGUCUUUGGUGGUCGUCAAUAUAACACUCCUACAGCUAUCAUAAAGAUUAUUCAACAUUUUUUUGAGCGUGACACUGUGAGUGAUGUAGUGUGGAACAAAGAGGGAAGAGUGAAGGAAUGAGGAUGGGAGGGAGGGGCAAAGAGGCAGAUGAGGCUGGAGAGUGACGGCAGAGAGUGAGGGAGGGGGAGAGAGGGAGAUAUUCAGGCAUCACUGCUUUUCCUCCAGGUGUCUUUGGCCUGCAUGAUUUCAUCUGCGAGGCCAUAAUAAACUUCCUUAAUGAAAUAAGUAAUUAACAUAUUAUAAUUGUGCAGCGGAUGAUUUUGACAGAGAUCAUUUUCCAUAUCUAAUGCUAUGCUAAUUUAAUCUGUUCCCCUCCUCUGCCCGACACGACCCUUUCUGUGAUUAAGUUUCAUGGCAUCUCACUUUCGCUUUUCCUCACCUCUCCUUUUUCAUACACUUACCCCCUCGCCGCACCUCACCCAUUUGCUCCCUAUCCCCUUUCUCUCUCUCUUUUUACUUCCUUUCUGUCUCUUCCUCUCUUUCUCCAGUGAUGGAUUGACUCCUCGGCAGAGGUUCAGGGCCUUGUUGUUGUGGAGUUGCAGGCGGAGGGACGUGCACAGAUGGCGGGGGAACUGGGGGCUGAGGGUGGAGGGUGGAGGCCUGGGUCUGUAUGUGUGGUCUAAUCUCGCUCCUUCCUCUGCCUCUUAUGCACUGAAAAAAAAGGAGAGCAUAGAGCAGGAAGCGUAGGAGGUGGGAGUAACAGCGAUGAUUGAAAUAUAGCCACGGGCUGGCGGUCAUGUGGAUUCUGUGCCUCGAUUGGUCUCAGCUCUGAGUUUGGUCAUCUGGGUUUAGAGUUUGAAAGACGGUAACUUGUGUGAGGCAAAUGUCAGCCAUGUCUUUGAGAAUAUCACCUUGACGUCUUUGUGUAGUUUUGAUUUCACAGUGACCUUUUGACCUUAAAGUGUUACAACAUAUUAUGGCAGCAGACUGGUUUAGCUGCUCCCAGAAACAAAGUUCCUCCGAUAAGAGGCAUAAACUGUUCUUAAGAUGUGAAGGCAGCCACUGUAAUGUCACCAGAUGGUUUGUGGCCAACACUUCUAAUGCCAAGUUUGAUGCAUUUUGGCCCCUGUCGGCUUAGUUUUUUAGGUCCUGAAUAGACCUUACUUGGACAAGAGGAUGGAUAAAAACUGCUCAAUAUUUAUCUUGAUUGGCAGGUAGCCAUGGAGACAAUAUUUUAAUCAGAGGUAAAGCCCUAUUCAACAGACCUCAUUUAGAAUAUGAUCAAGGGUAGAGUCAAUAUCACUAUGAAGAACAUGGAUGCUAGAAAAUGAGACCAUACUCUGCUUGGGUCACAAAUCAGGGAGAGGUAGAGCCUUUCUGUCAUACCAAUGUAAGCUAUUAUCACCAUAGACUGUGCAAGACAUGGAUGCAGUCUCAGAAAGGUCAAUAGUUUCUGAAGUGGUGUGUUAAGGCCCAAUGAUGUUGGUCACCAAAGUGGUAAUGCUGACUGAACCUAACUUUUGGUUGAUCUGUUGAUGAACAGGUGGGGUCAGGGUGGGCCUAUGGCCUCUUGGCUGACAACCACAAUGUGCCUUUCGCUUAAUCAAAUAAUUUAUGACCUUUAUGGUGCGUUCCAUUUAGCUCGGAAACCAGAAGUUGGAGCUGAGAAUGACGUCACACCCAAGUUAUCAGCGUUUCAGUUACAAAGUUGGAAAAAAGUAGCCAAAAACAGAAGAAAACACCGGCUGAAACUACCAGGCUAUGGUUGGCUGUUGUUAGCAUGGCCUGCUUUGUAGUUAGCAUACGCAUUAUACAAUAACAAUAACAAUAACACUAACAAUACUAAUGUAUACGGCUGACUUAUUGUGACAACACAGCAAAAAGUGUUAAUAAGAGGAUUAUUACAGGAGCUUCUACUUACUGUUUACAUCUUUAGAUGUCAACUCGAGGGUUGUGUGGAUUGUCCGACUUUCCGAGUCAGAAAUCCAACUGAAACGAAAGUUCCGACUCAGAGUUUUGAAAUCCCAACUUCCAAGUACAACUGGAAUGCACCAUAGUUGUUUAUUAUUAUGAAAAAUAAUAACCCUAGUAUCAUAAAAAUGAAAUAAGCCCCGCCAAUAGUGUGUUUGAGUACAGAUCUGAGCAUUUAUAUUUAUAUUUAUGAAAUUUAUUGUCUGUUUUUAAGUGACCUGAUAAAAAGAUUUUUUUCCUCAGAGGACAAUAAAGAUGAAUGAAAAUGGUGAACUAUAAGUGUUAAAUUUUGAACUCAUAGACAAAAAUAGGUGUCAAUAGGGUCUUCUUGGCUUUUGGAAUCAUCUUCAAGUUGACAUUUUGUGGGGAACUACAGUUUUUAGCACUUGACCAACUCCAGAGUUUGUUAUUUGACUUUAUUCAACAGUAUCUGAAACACUGAGUCACUUACAGGAUUCUUACAGGUGCUCUCUAAACACUCUUGUCUGUAAAUCCCCUGUGGUAAACUGUCUCCUUCUUAUCUAAUUGUGGUUAUAUCUUGGCAGGACCGGCAUGGCCCAUUUUUAUACGCUGAAAUAAAUGGACAGAAGCCAGAGGUUACCAUAUUACAGAAGAAUUGGCAACCAUUAUCAUCAGACAACUGGCUCCCAUGCUAAGUGGUUUCCAUCAUCCAGUGUGGGUUUACCUAAGGGUGACAUCUUUUUUAAACACAAGAUUCACCAGAAAUUCAAGAAUGUCAUAAAAGUGAAUUUUAGGUCUUACCUAAUGUCUUUUGCAGCACAUCACCUUUACCGAAGUCAAAAUCAAAUGUUUGGAAAUAAAAUAUUUGCAAACGUGGGUGGAGUUGGAUUUCAUCUCCGCAGCAGGUGCAGUGAAAAAAGGUUUCUAAACUUUUCUGGAGGAUUGCUUAGUUUUAAGUUACAGAUACACCAAGAAAGUUUGAAUCAACAUAAGUUCAUGAAACUUGUGCAAACAUCUGCAGUAACAAAGUUCAAACUGAUAAAUGUAACAUGGGACAAACAGAUGAUCAACAGGCUGACUGCAGUACGCAUUAACAUCUUUCUCUGCAGCCCCUCUGAGAAAGUAGAGAGAAACAGAGAGAAAGGGUUCAAGGGGGUUUAGGGGUAUGCGGAAAGAGUGGGAGUCAAGGGACGAAUGAAAUCAGCCAGCUGUGGUUUGAGCUGUCCCAUGUGAUGACAGGACCCUCCUCUCUCACUCUGUCUCUUUAACUCUCUCUCUCUCUUCCCCUCUCCCUCCCUCGGUCUCUUCAGUCCCUCUCCCCUGGCUUCUCUAAGCAGAAGGAGGCACCCACUGGGGGCUCUCCAUUUUCUGUCACCCAUGAAAUGAUGCGUACAAUUCAGCCGCUACCCCUCUCCCUCCGCCUUCUUCCCUUUUCCCCACAAAUCCACAGCUACAGCAUAUAGAGAACACUCUAAACCACUCAAUGCCUCUGAACACACAAACUGUACACAUAAACUUCAGCUAUCUAGUAUUCAAUGAUGUGGACUGGACCACAGAGGGGCUCCCAGGACUGUCAGUUCAUGAGGGAUGACAAACUCCCAGCAGCUAAUAUUUUUAGGCUGCUCUGAAAAUUUCCCUAAUAUGAAAAGUGUCUACUGUUGCAGCUGGUACUGAUCUUAAAAGCAGGCUCUGUCUUAUGCUUACUUUGGUCUGUUAAAUGUUGCAUUAACAUAAAAGAAGAACCAAAGUAUAAAGCUGAAUAACUCAGAUCUUUACAGAAGGCUAAACCUAAUGUUUAUUUAGGCAGGUGUCUGUUUUAGGUUGAAAAUGACUAUUAGUUUAUCACAUUUUAGUCUCUUCUUUGUGGUAUAAUUUAAGUCAAUAAAAAGUCAUAUUUUAGUCAAAACAUUACCACAAAAGUGCACGAAAAAACCUUCAACAUCAUAUACAACUGUUAGCCAGUUAACCAGUUAUACUUACUGUGCACUUAAGUCUCUAGUGUUGUGAUCGGAACAUUAAGGGCCAAUCCCAAUUCCACCCUUUAGCCCUUGUCUUACCUCUUAACCCUCAGUUUUGUGCAUUCAAGUCAGGCGAAAGGGUGUCCCAAUUGUCCGUAAGGUUAAGGGCAAGGAGUACACACCCCCUGAAAUGGGACCUCACUUAAGGGGUAAGAUUUUGAUAUGAUUUUCAUAGUAAUGACACAUGUUUUUUUAUCGGCUAUUUAAUCCUUUGCUACUCCAUGUAAAUAUUAGCGAUGUUUUGAAUUAUUUGCAUUUUAAAAUUGCUCGAUGUGACGAGCUAGCUAACGAAGCUAUAGCUAUUGAUAGCUACACUGAUGUCAGACUCAGGUGACAAAUUCACUGCAAACGGAAAGGCAUGAUGACGUAGCAGGAGUCGAGUGGUGUCUCGUUUAUUGGGGGCGUGUUUUCUCCCUGAGGGGAAGGGGUAGACAAAAGGGGUAAGAUGAAGGCGAAAGGGAAAGAGUGACUUUUGGGAUUGGCCCUAUGUGGGACACAGUGGCAAGUCAAUGACAGUUGAAAGACACACUAGCAGUGGAGCCAAAGUAGCACACUUUUUAAUCAAUUCAUUUUAUCAUUGAUCGGCAAAAUAUUGACAGGGAUAAUCAUCUUAAUAAGUGCCCCAGUGAUCCAGAGAUCAUAAUGUGGAAGACUGAAACAUUUGCACACUUGGGUUGAGAGACAGUGGACACACAUUCAGUUCACUUCAUAUUGUAUGUUUCAGAGUCAGUUCUGAUAGGAUUCUGUCUUCACCAAACAUCCAAUCCCAUUUUUAGUCAUUUAAAAAAGGAAAAGGCCAUACAUUUCAUCAUUGUUGUUGUCAUUGUGCAUUGACUUGUAUCUAGUCAUUGUCACAUUUUCAUCAGGAUGAAGGUCAAAAAACGUUGACAAAAGUCACCGGUCAGUGACAGUAACACUGCUGUAUUCCUGAGAAAAAGUCGUCCUAACACAAUACUAAGAACGAUUAAAUUAUAAUUAUUGUUCCUGGCCUUGUAGAAAUACUUUUCCCUGUGCACAUAUAAAUGGUUCUGCUACGAAGGGAUGGUGAGUAGAACAAACAAAGGGAAAGGAAGGUAAAUAAUGCAUAAGCAGUAUUUUGUAAAGCAAUUUCCCCUAUUCUAAGUUGAGCACACAAGAACAACUGAGAUGUAUAAAUAUUGUAGUACACAGAGGCUUUGUCUGCUUCAAUACUCAGCUGGCUGUAGAACUAUAUGCUUGUGUGUGUGUGUGUAAAUGUGUGUGUGCGUUACAAAGAGAGGGAGAGGUCAGGUGGGGCAAACAGAGGAUGAGUAAUGUGAAAGAGCUCAGAUGUGAACGCAGCAUGUAACAAUGACUGAGUGACAGGACACAUGCCACUGGGUAAUGAGAGGUUCACACCAGCAUGUUACUGCUUUCUUUCUUAUAUACCAGGAGGCCCCCCUCAUACACACACAUGCUGUAGAUGUAGGUAUAACACAGCCACCACGCAACAUACCGAUGCUUCUACCUCCACCCCCGAUCACUCACUGGAGGUUAAAACCUUUCCCAAUAACAACUCAGUCACUAUUCCCGCAACAUGGCAAUAACAACAAGGGCGACUAUAAACAUGCAGCCAAGCCCUGAUGAUGUAGUAACCCUAAAGGCCUAUCAGUGACGACUUAUACAUACAUAAAAAGGUCAAAGAUUCUAGUGAGGAUAUACACCAUGUAAAUUAUAUCUUCUUUUGGCUAUAUCAGGCUGUAACUGUUUGACUGGUACAGCCCACCCUUCGAGACAAGCAGUACAAUAGACUGUAAGCAUAAAGACGUCUGCAGCAAAUUAUAAGCCAGUCAACCUUGUAGUGUUUAAAUUUGUGAUCAGUGUGUUAAUUGAUAUUCAUUAGACUCACAGUGAUGUCAGUACAAGAAAAAACAAAUGACACUUUUUCUCUCUCCCCCCGGUCAGAAGAGACAGUGUAACUUUAAUUGAAAAAAACAAAAAAAACAACACUGCUGUAGAGAGAAGUGAUAUUAGUUUGGUAAAGAAAAGGUGCACCUUUUCAAAAGUACAGUAGCAGCUGGAAUAUAGGAAACGACUCUAGUCUUGAGUUCAUGAAAAAGACUUUAAAAUAAAUCUUGUAAAAGCAAUACCGUAUGAUUAAAUAUGUAAAAUUAGGCACUUUUCUGUAUUAAAAUAGAAUUACCUGAAAAUCAUUGGAUGGGUGUGUAAAUGGAUAUACUUUUGCUCCCUUUAACACAUCAAAUCACGAAUCAUUAGACAAUCUCACAGUGCUUGCCCUCUUCUUACUUUAUAAUUAGUUAAGAAAUUAUUACAGAGGUUAGAAAAACACAAAAAAAACGAAAAAAAACCACUUUAAAAAGCAUUAAAGGUGACAUUUAAAAUCAUUAAAACAGGUAUAAAAAAUUACAUCAAGAUAGAUAUCAAAUAAACUGAAAUAAACCAGCAAGAACAGACGUUUAAAAAUAUGAUCGUUUAAAAGUAGAAGCAUUAAAGGGACAGUGCAGAAUUGUGUUUCAAAAAUAAAGAUAGACAUUAUAAUAUCAAUUAAGGCACCUCCAAAAAGGCGAGUCUUAGUAGACAACAGACUGUUUCUGAUCGUUUGUUUCAGUGAAUUGGAGCAUGUAAACUGAGUGCUGUUCUUCCAUGUUUGGUCCUGACUUUUGGACAGACAGCAGACCUGCUCCACAUUACUUGAGUGGUCUGCAUUUGGGCUGAACGAUUUUGGACUAUAAUCUAAUCUAAUUAUUCUUUCAGUGUCCUUUUUUAUGUACUUUUCAACAAACAGAAACUAUAAAUCAAUCUGUAUUAUAGUGAACUAUAUCAGAUUUAGUAUGAAUAAAUUGUUCCUUCUGGCAAUUAUCAUUUCUUUGGAUCCCUGUCUUGUUGGCCAGUCAGUGCUUCAGUUAUUUCUGCCUUCUUCUCCCAACUUUUGGAAAAGUUCCCCACCACCUUCCUGCACAGCCUUAUUGCUCUUGACUCUCUGUCGUCUUUUAAUGCAUGUACUGUAAUACAAAAUAAUACAAGAACAGUGAGUGCCCAAAACACUGGAAUCAACAGCUAACAGUAGGCGUCCAUCUUGGUUUUCCGGCUUGUUUACUGGAACACCGUCAACUUAGGUGUAGUGUCAUUCCCAGCUCCGACAUUCAACUCUUGAGGUACCUGAAUGCAGCAUUACCCCAUGGUGCAACAGCGCACAGCAUUGACUUGUCUCCCUGCCUGCUCUGCUGUGCCCCGCUCCCUUGCAUGUCAUGUAACCAGUCAAAAUCGCAGCCCUUGCAGUUAGAAAAUUGCGUUUUAUCAUAUCAUGAUGUAGUCACGAAUGCAAUUAAUCGUUCAGCCCUAGUCUGUCUGGUUCAUACUAAACUAGAAGAACGCUUGUGUAUUUCGGCCCUAAAUCAUUCAGAGCUGUCUAAACCAGCCACAGUGUUUUAAGAUCUAUCCUCUGACAAACAGGGAACCUGUGUAAAGACCUCAGAACUGGACUGGACUGGAUGUGAUUCACUUUUUUAGGUCUUAGUGAGGACUCGUGUGGGCAGACCUGUAAAGACAUUGUUACAGUAAUGAAGUGGACUGAAGAUAAAUAGACAAGUUUCUCCAGGUCCUGCUGGGACACAAGUCCUUUAAUCUUCCAUGCUUCAGGUGAAAGGAGACCGUCUUUGUAAUCUUUCCCUCUCGUUUGACUGACUCAGAGUGAUGCCCUCCUGUAAUACUGUUGCCAGGUUAGAAACACUUGAAAAAGAAAACAUGGUAACACCAGCCUUGUCACGCUGUGCACCACACUGUGGAGUUUCUUUUCUUUAGGAAACAGUCAUUCAAGAAGCAGAGAGCGAGGACAAAGAAGCACACGGUGCUGACUUUUAUAUAAAAGGCUUAAAAUAUGUUUUAGUUUUGUGAAUAGAUGAACAGAAAUGCAUUUUACGUUAUCAGAAUGAGAAUCCUCGGGUAUCAUCUUUUAACCAGAGUCUACCUACAGACCCUCCGCCAGACUUGAUGAACCCAGCAUGCAAUUGCAGUAGGGCUGCAACUAACGAUUAUUUUGAUAAUCGAUUAAUCUGUCGACUUUUUUAAUAACUAAUCGAUUAAUCGGAUAAACAGGCUAAAUUCAUCAAUGCAGCUGUUAAUAGCAAUAGCAUAGGGCUUUAGUUUAUCAUAUGAGUUUAUCUGCCAUGAGGUGUUGAAGUCUCUGCAUGUGUAGGUUACUGACUUACUGUAAUCAUCGGGUCUUUCUCGUCCUUAUAAAAACCUGCUCUAUUUCGGCGAGUGUCUGUCUUCCUCUGUAGUCAAACCGCAAGAUAUCAAAAUCUACCCGGAUACAGCAAUGCUGCUUUUUGAUUGGCUGUUCAGUAGAUAUACUUUAUUUGAUUGGCUUGCGCGUGGCACGCAGCUUCUGAACUGUCGGAGAAACUCAGUUGAUUUCCACCGUUUACAUAGUUAAAGAAGUGCAACUUGGUGGACAUCACCAUGUUCAUUUAAAUGUGUGAGAAAUACAAUGUGUGGUGCGUGAGCGUGUGAACGAGUGGGAAUGCGUGUGUCAUACGCUGAAUGCGUGAGACUUGAGAGCCCUGUGCUCACGCAUCAUCGAUGUACUCCCGUGCCAUGCAAAACGGUCUUUGCAAAUGUUGCACUGAACGCCUUCCUUUUCAGUCUUGGUAAAGUUUUCCCACACCAUGGGUUGUGUCCAUGACUUUCUCAGCCGCUGCCUCGGCCAUGGCUGUUUCUUUUCUGUGCGUCCUGCUGAUGUUUACACGCCGGUGUCCAUGGACAUAUAUAAAGACCCGACGAAUCGAUUACAGAAUUAGUUGGCAAUGGAUUUUUUCGUCACGACGAAUCGACUUAAUCGAUUCGUUGUUGCAGCCUUAAAUUGCAGAUGGCUUGCCACCAAUAAGUUUGGUCUUGCUUGAGAUUCACCCUGCCAAAAAAAAAAUGUUCAAUGUGUCAAGCUGGGGACACUUUGUAUUUUACCUUCUUCAAAACAUCUUUCUGCCACUCAGCGACCUUUACAAACAACAAGUGCUCGGAUAAAGUACAGCCACAAAAACUGAAAUCGAUCAUGUAUUUCUGGACGUCUUUCUCACUUUCUCCUUCCUGAUCUCAGCGUCCUCUGUGUUUCAGAGACAGCAGCACUGGGCCCAAAUGAUAAUCGAGGGCUGUCACCUCAGCCAAAAGUAAACAUUAUCCAGUAUGUCACUCUGAACACCUCAAGGACAAGACAGAGAAAGUAUGAGUGAGGACAAAUGGACCACAGAUGUCUCUCAGCGGGAUUUAGUUUAGUUUUACUGCUUUUAUUCGUAUGGAAAGGUGCCAGUGAAGUGCAAAUAGAUGUCAAAACAGUCAAUAGAGCCUUACAGACAAGCACUUCAUUUGAAGGGCUAAAUAUAAGGUGAUCUGCAUUUUAUAUUUAAAAGCAUUAAAAAAGAUCUUGUAAAUUCUGGCUACAUAAAAAGCUUAAAUAUCAUUUUAUCCAUUCUUUUCCUUUCUAACCCCCCUCCCCAUCCCUCAUCCCUCAUCCCACACCCAAAACCAUCUCUCAGUGUGUCUCUACUCUUUAUCUCCGUCUUACUGUUUCUCUUUGGCUCGCCUCUGAUGUUCACAGGGAGAUCUCGACAUCCCUAAAUCAUCAUCAGAAUGAGAAAGGAGUCCCAGGGCUAAUGCAAUGCAGAUAUGUUGUCUUUUGUGUCGGAAUAUGAGAAAAGGAAUUUAUGUGAGGCGCUCGGUGAGUCAGAAUUCAUUUCUUGCUCAAGCUUUUGCCCUGCAGUCAAACGUAAACUGACUGCAGACUCAGCUGGCUGACUGAGUGAGGACACACACAGACACGAGCGCACACCCCAAACUCGCACACACUCACACAAAUUCAUCCCACUCUGUAUACACGCAUGGACUCCUUCAACACUCAGCACACCAAUACACUCGUGUUCACCCCAGUAGACUGUGUCUGUGUGCUCUGAGUGGCCUCUCUAUCCUUGAGUGACAGGUGGACAUGGGUGGCACAAUGGCCGCCAAUAUUGUCCAGCGACCAUGGUAACAAUGGCUGGUCUCCAGGGAAAUGUGGAGCCUCAAAGUCGCCGGCCGUCAGACAUGAAAAGGCGAGAACAUUUCAGGUGGUGAGGAAAAAAAAGAAACAUUUGGAGGGUUUGUGCUAAUCAACAUUGCCGGCGGCAAGCGCUUUGAUAGGGAAAAUGGAUUCUGAUCCUUGAUUAUAAUAUAGGGCACAAUCUGAAACAGCUCAAACACACAUACACACACACACACGGAGACUGAAUAAGCAAGCUAGAGAACCAAGAAUGUGAUUUUCUUGACCAUUCAAUACAUCAUUUUGUGGUUAUUUUCCAUAUCUGAGGAAUAACAUGAAUACUCCACUGGAAGAAAUGCAACCACAGCGUACACAUAUUAAAGGUCUGAUUUUGCAAAAUACACAGGGGACACACACAGAGAGCAAAACGAACAUCACGGGGUGAAGAGUAUCAAUGAACAGAGAUUAUUUCAAACAAUAUGAUGCUGUUUACGAUUAUGCAGGAACACAGCCUCCAUGCAUGCUGGUCAUAAAGGCGACUAAAAGCUAACUAUCUGUGGGUGUUUGUGUAUAAUGUGUUAGAGAGAGAGAGAGAGAGACAGACAGGGAGGAGGAGGAGAGAGAGAGAGAGAGAGGGAGACAGGGAGUGAUGUACUCUUAUCAGUCUUCCCAGUCCUCAGCAGCAGCAGAUAAACAGAAGUGUGAAGGGCAGUUGCGCUGCAGGGGGCUGAUUGACAUGGCUGGUGCCCAAAGAAUUACACACACACAUACACACACAGUCACAAACUCACACACACAAACAUGUUUGCCUUCCCUUGUGCGUAUGUCCACAAAAGCAUCAUCUACUAAAUUCACUUCCACUGUCCACAGAAUAUUGUCAGCAUUCAUUUAUGAUUGGUUAUAAUAAGUUUAGUUUAAUGAAUCCAGAUUAAACGUAUCAACGUCCAGUUUUUGGUGCUUUAUUAGUUAAAUUUUAUUUUGCUAAUAUUAUUUAAACAUUUUAGGAGUUCUUGAGGCUUAAAACUGCUUUAUAGUUGGCAAGAAACAAGCAAAUUAUGGACAAAUCUUCAUGAAACCUUCCCUUCUUAUCCUCUAAUAACUUUUUGAUUAAAAAAAAUCCAGAUCUAAUUUGGCAUUCAAAAUAAACUAAGCAUCACUGGAGUUAAAACAGCUUAAUUUUAGAGUUAAAACACCUGAAUAUCAGUGAAACUUAAAGUCUCUGUCAAUUAAAACACUUUAAUGGUCAAAGAAAGAUCUAGAAGAACUUGAAACAUUCAAUUUUCAGGCUUGAGUCUAUCAGUAUACAUUUACAUGCACAGUUAAGUCAAGCUGCGAUCAGAGCUCAGUUCGGUGAUUUAUCUGGACAAUGGUCCUUGUCCCAAUUUACAAACACCAGGUGAGGAAUGAAGUUAUUGACCGAAGCGUGUCUGCCUCCUCUACAGUCGGUGGCGACGUCUAGAAGUGUCUAAACGGAUGUGCGAUGAACAUUUGUAAAACAUCCUUUUUAACGUACGAUAUGAAAGCUUCAUCUUUUUUACAUCCUUUUAUCCUUCUGUCAGGGUUUUGUUCUCUUCCCUGCUUCCUAGCGACGCUUUUACGCUCCUCACCUCCAGAGUCAAAGCCUGGCAUAUACAAACUCUGGAGCAUGCUCAGAACGCUCAGGCCAGUUUCAGUCUGAUGGAGCGUAGACAUGGAAGAGAAAAUCAAUUGGCAAGCACAUUAUCUAGGUAUGUCAGUCCCACCCUGGGAAGUUCAAUUUGGUCCCAUUCUAAGUCCACUUGGACAAAACCAUUUCAAAUUGUAAACAUAUUACUUUAAGAGAUUAUGCUCCAUUUCAAGUGUGUUUUUAUGAACGCCUUCUGUCGCUUUGAAAGAGCAGCACCUUUUUUGUUGAGUCAUUAGGUGUUAGUGAACUAAAUCUGUAUCUGUUUCAGACCAAACCAAAUAUUAUAUAAAUUCGAGGCGGAUUUAUCUAUGUUUUAGCACCACACACUCAUUUAUUUGUGUUGUAUUGCAGAGAAAUCAAUCUAAUAGAGUAAAUAUGAGCCAAUUUAAGCCAUGCUACAGUAGGUGUGUGUGUGUGUGUGAGUGAAGAUUAAACACUACCUCAGUACUUGCAGAGAAGCUGAAAGCAAAUAGGGGAUUAAAGCAGAUGAGAAGAAGAAGAAGAAAAAAAAAAACUGGCCCAUGUCUCAGGGAGGACAGGAGAGAAUGGAAACGACAGGGAGAGGCUUGACUGACAGCCAAACACACACCUUAAGUGCGUUCUUUGAAUAUGUGUAGACAUAGAUUUAAAUUCUCGCUUGUAGAAUGCAUGUGUAACUCUACAUACCACCUAGGUAUGUUCGGCGUGCUCACGCAUUUUAGUUUGUAUUUAUGAACCUGUGAGUGUGUGCACGACUCUAUGUGUGUGUGUGUGUGUGUUUUUUUUCAGCGUGUUAGCAGAUUAUUGAGCAGGCAUGCCCUGUGGCGUCAUGCUGUUCCACACCAAACAGUGAAACCAAUACCUUUUUGUAGCUGAUAAAACUGGAUGGCCAGAGAUAGGCAUGCAUAUUAUCACACAUACACACACGCGCGCACACACACACACACACUCACACACACACACCUCGCCUCCUAACCUGUAUGUUUUUAUCGUGCAUGUACUAAGCUUACAGAGGUUUGCUUUUGCGUGUUAUCUUUUUGUGUGUGUGUGUGUGUGUGAGUAAUUCACUGCUACAAAGACACCGUACACUCUCCCUCCUACACUUUCCACUUCCCCUGAGACAAAGUCCCAAUUUCUCCGUUGCCUGCAGUCAGACAGAAAGAUGAGGGGGGCAGGAGGAGGAAGGAGGGGAGAGAAGGAGCAGGAGAGUAAGGAGAGGUAGCGCAAAGAAAACCCAGAUGCUAUCAACCCUCAGAGAGUCACCAGGGUCAUUGUCAUGUGUCAGUCAGUGUAACACAACUCUCCCUGAUAAGCCCGCCGAUUGCGGCGAUUGGCCACGACGGGUGACAGCGCGAUACCGUUCUGUGCCUGCGCUCCUGACGAGACACGAAAUUAACCCCCAGCGCUUUGCCGAUAAACAUCUAAAAUGGUUUCGCGACCCCAGGGGCUAAUGGGAAGAGACGGGAAGCUAUCAAAAUAUCAAAUGUGCGUGACAAGCGGCACAAGGACCAGGUCUGUCAAACACUCGCCUCUCCGAGUGUGAUUUAACUCCGUGUCUCCCACAAAGCCUGGCAGCACCGAGCUGAGGAAUGAGCCAGUGGUUGCAUCUGUCUGUACACAGUGAAGCCAUAUUUUAAUAGACAUAUUUAUUUAGUCGAACCAGUGUGGGGUUCCUGGUUUUAAUUAGGUAAACAGCUCGUCAGGAGGAAUCAAUGGUGAUGCUUUAAUGAAGGUCGGCCCAGGCUAAUCACUGAAGCCUUUUCUGUCAUGUAGAAAUUGUCAUGAAAGGAGUAAAUGCAGCCAUCUCUUUCUUCCAAGUUACAGAUCGCUCUAUCCCACGUUGGAUAUGUGUGCAGUGUCUGCCUGCAAGCAUGCGGCCUGUCUGUAAUUUUUUUAGGUUCAUGUCCUUGGAUGGGUCUUUGAAGGACAAGAGAGCAUGUAGCAUUGGACACAGAGGCCCGUGUGUGUGUGUGUAUGUGUGUGUAGGUGUGUGUGUCAUGUGUCUCAGCUGGGUGACAUGUGAAGGUGAUGGGUGUCACCGGUGUCCCUGUCGUCUGAGGGCAUGUCUCCCACUGCUGGCUGUGACACCAGCCUGACUGACUUAUGAUCGGGAUUUAUCAUCUUGAUUUAUGAUGAGUCUGGUUUGUCCCUCUCACAGUCAGGAGGAUGAGGAGGUCUGGGUUUUGUGUGUGUGUGUGUGUGUGUGUGUGUGUGUGUGUGUGUAUUCUUUAAAGAGAGAUAGGCAGAGCUUAUGGUCUGGCCUAGGUAAGUCCCCGGUAAUAAAAAUCUACACAGAAUUUCUAUUCCUAAGAUAUUAUAACAGGACUUUCAUCAGUUGUUUUGAUUUUGCUUGUCAGGAUUUGGUAAAAGAGCUGAUACUGGGUGUUGCGUUGGUUCAUUAUAAUUUGGUAUUUACCAAAAGUUAAAACUCUAACCAAUCAUAGAAGGGUAUACACCAAACCCCUCCCACACAAGCACAACAAAGCUUUUCCUCUCCUGCUCAGACUGACAGACUUUAGGUCUUAUCAGGUUCAUUUCUUAGUCCCCUUUGUUAUCAGCUUGCUUAUAUUUGGUGAAACACUCGACCGUGUUGUUAGUCAGCCAUGGUAGAGUCAUGUUAAAGCAACAUUCAUUUACCUCAAGACUGGAUCAGCAACUUUGUCCAAAAAGCUCAGGCCAUGCCAGAUGUUGUAAAUUCUUGUACCCUCAGCCUCUGCCUUCACCUCUUAUUUUCCAACUUUCUGUAAUUACAAGAUAGUUUUAGCCAAAAACCUCUUAAAAGUGAUAUAUUUUAUAGACCUUCAAGAAUAAUGGACUUAACUUCCUUGUUUUUAGCAAAAUGACAACCUCAAGUCAGGGUGCUUUAGCUGGUAAGGAUUAGCUUAAACUAACACAUUAAUUCACCUCUUAUAUAAACUAAAUAACAUAAAAUACAUUUUUAGGCAUUAUAUCAAUACAGGCAUUGAGCUUUAUGAGAAAUAAAAUACACAUGGAUUCAAAGUGUGCAUCAGGCAACAAGCUAUGAACUAAAUGAAUCACGUCUGUGUUAACCGUGACUAUCACCAUAACCGUAGCAUCUUUGCUACCACUCGGCAACACGGAUCUCGACCAAACUUCUCAAAAACGUUAUAAAGGCACUUCAUUUUAGCUUGUCUGCGAAAAGAAAUAUAUACAAACCUUGCGCCUCUAUCAACCAAGUACUUAAGCAGCUUACAGCGAUCGUUAUUAGCCAUUGUGUGUCUUGAAUUCACACUUUGUUAUUACCGUUCAUCGACUGAUAAAUUUCCUUUCAAAAUAAAGGCAUUGGUCUCUGUCUUACAGGACUUAGAUUGACUAAAUUAACACAUAAUGUUGUUCAUUUACAUGUAAUAUCCCAGCUUUCUGGAUGAGGAUUGUUUUAUACAAACUCAUGCAGUUAAAGACUUCUCCACUGUAUAACACCCGUCUCCCUUGGAAUCCAGAUUGCACUGUUUUAAUCACUUUUUGUGUGAAAGUCUGUCACUGUAAAUGUGAAGCAGGGUGUUGCAGAGAGUGAAAAUGAUUCUCAGGUUUUUCCCUGGAUGAAUGAAUCUAUGAAAGCACAUUCAAGAGUGGAUACUAAUUAAAAUGACUUUUUUAAAUGUUCAGAACUUUGAUCACAAAGGCCCUGAUAGAGUGAUCAUACCGUGCUACGUGUCAUUGCUGCAAACUCUCAGUCAUUUUCCCUUCAUAUUGUGCUGUAACAGACAAGCAGAGUCUUGACUACUAAAUGCCAGGCACAGGGACAUGGGGGCUAUUUAGUAAACAUCUUUCAAUUCCAUGCCAGCCGGCUGGCCGUGCAGCAAGGCAGUCUCUUUGCUUCUCCUCUCUAUGUUAGGAUGCAGAGAAACAGGCCGACUACAGACCCAGGGGAUGGAGGAGGAAAGGGGGAAGAAAAGGAGGAGGAGGAAGAGGAAGAGGGGGUAAGAGACAGAAAAGAGAGAAGGAGGGCACUGGAACACAUCCACAGAUUAACCCUCACGGAGGAGAGGAAAAAUAGAGCGGAACUGAACGUACGUGUGUGUGUGUGUUUGUGCGAAAAGAGAGGGAGGGAGGUGGAGAGCUGCGACAUUCAGAGGCAUCUGGGCACAGUGACACGGAGGUGCCCAUUUUGUCUCUGCCAUACACUGGACACCAACAAAGAAAAAUACAACAAAUACACACCUUUAAUUCUUCAAUGGGACCCUCUAUCCUUUCAUCUGGCCCUCCCUAGACCUCCCCCUGCCCUCCAGCAGCCACAGCUAAUCCUCUCCUUCAAACUCCCAAAUAAAAGCAGCAAAGAAGGAGGGACAGGGCAGAGAUGGGGGUUAUGGUAAAGAGGGUUUCUUGCCCCCUUGUGCCUUCACACUUCCAUUUGGUACAGAGCUCAGCCUGAUAGAAAGACUUUUUUUUUCGAUGGACAGAAACACAUGCCAGUGUGCGUGUAUUCACAUAUCGUGUCAUGUCUAAGAACAAAAUCCAGAGCCUGUAGGGUUAACAUGUAUUUAGGAUUCAGGCUUAAGUUUAGAUGAUAACUCAGGAUCAGGGUUGGGGUUAAACAUGAAGUGUUCAAGCUCAGAUUCCAGGGAAAGUCAAAAGCACAGAGUGACAGUGCAGGUUUGUUUUCAACUUCUAUAAUGACUCUCAGAAGUGAUUUUAGGUUUUACAUUCAAAAGGAGAACUUCUCCAGAGAAAUGUUAAACCCUGAGCACUGACAUUAAAUCAAUUUUAACCACCUUUCUUGAUAUUUGAUAUAGUAUUUAGGAAAAUGAAGGAUUUUGUACCUUACAGAUUGGCCUGCUAGAUCUGUUUCUUGGAUAUUUGGCUUUUGUGUUAUAAAAUAAUAUUUGAUAAAUUAUGAUAAACACUUUUCAUGUACCAUUUAAUAGCAUGAGCAGCCCUGCUGAUACAUUUUAACAUGUAUGUUUAUUUGCAAAGAAAUGUAUUUUUUACUUUUCUGUCUGAAAAGAAAACCCACACAACUCUGUCUGUCUCUGGUGUGGCCAUCCAUGCCUUGGGGCACACUUAACACAGACUACUUAGUAUGUUGUCCUACAAGAGGACACUGGCAGAAAGUGAUCAAACACAAACUGUAACAGAGUUUGAUUAUUAUUAUUAUUUUUUUCCAUUAACUCAAGUUCUCUCUGUCUGAAUAAUGGUGCAUUGACAGUAAAAUGUACCACAAAGGUGUGCUCUUUUAAGUUUCGGCAUACAUGCGUAUCCCCCCUGUGCAACUCCUUUUAAAGUUAAGUUCUCCUAAAAUGCCCCAUCCAAAUGUGAAAAACAAAAUACUUACAGAAACAGUAGCUGAGCCACUCAUAUGUGGAGAUUUAGAAUUGAGUUUCUUGUUUUAGCACAACCAAAAAGAUCUCUCGGAGACCUCUUAGUUGUCACAAAAGUGUAAAAUAAUCUAACACAAACCCUGGGCAUCUUUGUACUUUUAGGGCCAGGGCGACUGGCAGUGCUGAUAAACCAAUGCAGUCUAAUAUUUUCAGUGCUCAAUCUCCUAAGCAUUUUUUGUUGUUGUUGUUGUUGUUGUUGUUGCUGUUGUCGCUCACAAAACUCUCAGCUGAAAAUAGUUCAACUUUUGGGCUUGUCACUAUCCCUCAAGGACCAAUUAAUUAAUCUUAAGAUUAAAAGAGGACAGAUGUCUUCUGAUAUCAACUAUGACAAGAACAAUGGUGGUAGUGAAACUCACCCAGCUUUAAUUUUCCAUUAAUUUUUGAAGUUUCAAGGGCUGUUGCUAAUGCAAGGACAUUUUACUUUGGGGGAAGGAAGAGCGACGGCGAGCUAGUGAGCACUGCCAAAGGAAAAAAAUCACUGUUAGUGGACACAGGCCCUUAGAAACAUUACAAUGUUUUUACUGUGCUGCUACAGACAUUUGCUUUAAGGCGUUUCACAACUGGCAUGACUGCUGAAGCUGGGGUAUUGACCAGAGCAAAUGGACGGAUGCCUUUUAUGAUUGUGUUUUUCUAUCAGACCAUAUCCAUGCUGUGCAAAACCAGAACAUGAGUGCAUAUUAAUGCUAUCAAACAACACCAGGACCAGUUUUAUUUGCUUAGUGUUUACAUAAAGUCAGUAUAUCAAAAAUCAUAUACUUAACAGAGCUUCCUUCUUUCUGCUGUGCAAAACCUUGAAUGUUAUGAUGGCUGUAAAAGUAUGUAAGAACAUAUGUUCAUGAAAAAAUCCCUUUAUUUCCAUCAAAAUCAAAGUAAUGAACCAGCCUUUGAAAAUAGUAGCUAAGUAGAAGAAAAAGUCAUUUAUCAUGGUUGAAUAAAAUUUCAAACACAUAACUAUAACUGAAUUUCUUCACAAGCUACAGCUUUAUCUGGCAGCAUUCAAAGAAUCAUUCAGUCUUACAAAACAAGUCUUCAAACAUGGUGAACGCAUACUUGCCUUUGAUAUAAUGGUAGCCCCAGUAUUGUACAUCACAUGUUCCCCGCUGUGGUGAAAGCUGCUAUGUGUGUUGAUGUGAGUGUGCAUGCAUGUUCAAUUCUCGUUUCUGUUGUGGAGCCGGAGAGAGCUGCACAGAUCCAGAUACACAGUCAGAUACACCAGGGAAUAGCUGUGAGUGAGUACUGUUGGUUUGUUUGACAGGGACCUCUUACCCCUGUCUCUCUCACCUCAGAUAGAGAGAGACAAAUACAUGGGGCUGGCAGAUAGAGGCAGAUAGAAGAAGAGUGAAAGGGGGGAGCACAGAGAGCAAAGAGAGAGAGAGAGAGAGAAACAUAAAGAUAGACCACGAGGUGUUGAAGACGGGCCUGGGGAAUAGGAGGCAGAGCAUAAAGGCGCGAGAGCAAAGCGCCGAAGGAGGGGCGACAAUAAAGGGGUUGGGGAGAGAAGGAGAGAAUUAAGGGAGGAGAGGGGUUAGAGAGAAAGGGAGGGGAAAGGGAGAGAUAAGGAGGGAGAGAAAGCUUGGCACUGCACCGGGUAGUGGAGGGUUUAUUAUUCUCUGUAGCACUCAAUCAAACGCCGGCCCUCUGAACAGAGAGCAAUGCUGGCGAAUCAUCCUGGGGGCUUUCUCUCUCUCUUUCUUUCUUCCUCUCUCUCUCUCUCUCCAUCCCUACCCUCCUCGCCCUCCCCCGCUCUCUCUGUCUUUUUUUCCUGCGGUGUAUGAGUGCUAUCCAUCUGUCAGCUGUCAGUGCCAGUGAGAGAUAUACAGAGCUGUCACUUCGCGUCAGCCUGGGUUUGGGAGGCCCUUUUUGCAGCUGCUGCUCUACACAUACUUUGCCUAUGGCGGCACAGGAGCACAAACACUGACACACACUCUCUUACUCACACACAAACACUGAUGCUGGAACAAUAUAUUGGUUCACAGACACUAGUCAAUUAAAAGCUUGAAAUGAGUCUUUUCAGGGUUGGAGGGAUUAUAAACACACAGACUUUAAGUUCUGUCAUUAUUCGUUCAGUCCAUAAAUUUUCUCUAGACUUAACGUUACAUUUUUAGAUUGGCAAUGUUCGCAUCACCCCGUCCAAUGGGCUCUAAACAUUUGGAUGGUAAAAACCAAGGCCUGACACAAAGCCUCGCUACACCAGCAAAUAAUAAAGUAAGAGAUAUAAAAUUAUCUAUUGUGCAAAAGCUUAAUGACGAGAUUUCAUGAUGUGUGAAUUAAGGUGACGCAUUUGGAUGAAACUGUUUGUGUUUUUCUGGGGAGGACUGCAUUUCCCAUAAGCCACCACCACCAUUGAGCGAAGAAUAUCACCCAAGCUUUUUUUCACGUCAAACAAAGCAACCAAAAUUCAGUACAAAGAAAAAUCCAAUCUUGUUCCCUGAUAAUCACAUUUUACUAACUAGGUCGUGAAGAGCCCUCAGAUUAAGAGUGACACCAUUUCAAAGUCAGUUAAAAACUCCUCAGUGCUUAAUGCUCAUCGUGAUUCUGUAGGUACCAUUGGACUGUGAAUAUAUACUGUAUGUUUUUUUUCUUUUUUUUUUGGUAAUAAAAUGAUUUCUUUGAGAGUCAUUUUUGUGGUACACAAAGUUAUAUUUAAGUCUAUAAAAUGUCCAGAAGAUCAUCUGAGUAAAAAAUAACGUAAAUGAAUAAUCAAUUUUCAAGGAGGCAUUUUUCCCAUCAUUGAUUUUGUUUAUUUUGCUGCUUUCCCGUAGCUUUAGAGGGCAAUUUCUCAUUUAAAGAACUUAUAUCGACACUUAUCUGUACACUCAGCUAUAAUACCAAGGGAAGGAAAGAAGGAGAGACGCAGUGAUUAAGUGAUAGAGUCAUUUAAAAUAAAUCCAAGUAAUCGAACAUCGAAGUCAAAGGUGUGUCAGCAAUCUUUUCAAGAUAGUGGUCAAAAUGCAACAAAACGUUGAACAGCUGCCAGAGACAAAAAAUAUGGUGUCACUGAGUGUAAUGUCUGAAAAAGCAAGCCCAACAGAUCGCCCUUAUAAGAGCCAUCAGGCAGAGAAAAUCCAGCAUUGAUGACUGACAAACUACAGGUGAUUUGCAUUUUAUGGUAAAAACAGUUAAUAGGGUUCCCAAGUGCCUUAUUUAGAUAGGAGAUAGAUAGAUAGUCAGAAACUUUUAUAGUCACUGUAAUAAAAUACAACAAAAUUCCAUUUGUCUGUCCCAUAAGUGCUUAAAAGGAUAUUCCAGCGUAAAUUAUGUUAGUUAUGGUCAAGUUAUGGUUAUGGUCAAACACACCGUAACACUGAGUAAGACACCCCCUCGAGAGAUGAAUGUUGCUGACUGCUUGCUUCUCCAGUUAUACCAACUUCAGCAUCGACCGCACAAUAGCAAUACACAGCAGUCCACGUCUCCACAUGCACACCUCAACCAAAACGCCACUCUAUCUUUUUAGAUAUUACCUAAGCUUUUUAGCUUUACCUAAUUUCUUUAGCAAAGAGACCAAACACAACUCCCCCACUCUCCUCCAGCAGCCUCUUGUUUGUGGGGGAGCCCUGAUGAGUAGAUUACAGAUCACCAACACUUAUAAGAUAUUAAAAACAAUGUUAUCAAAAAUAUGUUUACUCUUUUAUCCGUGGGUAUCUUUAUCUUAAAUAUUUUAUUCCAAACAAAAACUAAAUCUAGUCUACAAAAAAGGGUCUUAUCACAAUCUGGGCCAUCCUGUACUCAGACCAUUACGUUAAUAAUAUAAACAGUUAAUCCAAGGUAAAAGCUCAUUCAAGAAAUACCAAAUGAGAAGCUGCAAUGACUCCCAGGACCUUAUUGAAAAAGACCAGCAAGAUGUUGAUGACUUGAACGUUGAAAACAUGCUGGAUGUCAAGCUACUACUUAACCAUCUUUGUGUUUAAUUGUGUGUUGCUGUUACAUAUUGGCACCCCAUGAACGUCUUGAAAGAAAUUAUUGGGAUUUAUGUGUCUGUAACUGGUGGUAGUUAGCCUUAAACAGGGUGACUGCUGUGCAAGGAUGGAUAGGAUGGAGGGGUAGGUGGUGUUGGGAUGGAUAUGUGUGUGUAGUUGGGUGGCAAUUAUCCAAAUUAAUUGUAGGCCUCUGUUGACACCACUCAGGAAGAAGAUGUGAAGACUACGAAUGUGUUUUCUAUGACAACAAGAGAAAAGGGGACGUGUGUAGCUUCCCUCCAUGCCUUCCAUUUGUAUAUGUUGACAAGAUUGUGGGGUUUUUGUGCCUAUUGUGCCACUCCUGCCAUUCUAGCACCAAUUGUGUUGGGUUUUGGGGGCUGGUUAUUAGAGGGUGACAGUUUCUGGGCGGAAACAAACACGACUCUGACGAUUAACACCAUGUCACCAUGUCAGCUCAUACAGUAAUCCUGAUAUUCUGUCUAUCGCACAUGUGUGCAGAGGGAGGGAGGGAGGGGGAGGCGAGAGGAAGGGACAGCGAGGAUAUCACAGAAAAGAGAGGGAGAGAAAGAGAAAGAGGCACAGCUGAGAUCCCAGGAGAGACAGAUAAAGCCGUGUCGUUCAUUCAGGACAUUGUGUACGUGGAGGCGUACUGUAAUGCAAUGUUAACAUUCUUCCCAAUCCGGGGCUCUCCACAGGGAAGAGCGAGGCCUGCUGGGGGAUCUGUUUAGUUGAUCAGACGUGCCAGUGCUCUCGCCAGGCAGGGGAAUAGAGUAGUGAGGGAUACAAUGGGAGAGCAGGGCGUGACAGACGAGGAUGAGAUGGAGAAGAGCGUCUCAAGGCUAAGCAUGAAUAACACUGCAUACAAAGGACAAGAUAGUGUAGUAUAAUGUAGUAUCUGGUUGGAGUUUGAUAUCGUAGGUUAAGAAAGCACCAAUACAAAUCUGAUAACAGGCUAGUAAGUAUUCUUGAGCUCACUGCACCAGCUGUUUGCAAAUUCAAACUUUAGCCUAGUGUCACACUUCAAAGUAAAUGACAAAAAGGGGAUUUACACCAUGAAAUAAUGUAAAAAAUAAUCAAAUUUAUGGAUCAAUCAGUCAUGAAUAUGGGUGUAAUGAGUGUUGAGUCCCAUAAAAAGAGCAAUGCAAACACCAAACCAGCUGCUGCAGGUCUUAGAGAGAGAAGAGACGGAGUUGUUUGUGUGGAAGCGUCUAAAUAUGCCAAGGUCCGACAUCCUUAGGUUUCCUGAUGUCCUACCUGGUUCUGCUUAAAGCUCCCAUGAGGUCAACUUUGGUUACUCCUGUGGACAAAUGAGGAUUUGAAUGAAUGAAUAUUUUGAGAGACAGGAAAUGCAGGGAGCAGAGGUUGCAGCAAAGGGUUGUUACUGGAAAUCGAACCAACAACAACUGCACUGAGGACUAUAGCCUCCAUUGGGACAUGUAUACUGCUGGCCAUUGGUGCCCCAGUCUUUGCCUAUCUAGUUCUCUACUUCUCAAUCAGUGGUUUUCACAAAAACCUCAUCUUGCUGACUACAGGAGGCAAAUGUAUCAUUUGCUGCAAAUGAGAAUUUUUUUUAGCCAACCUUGAGUCUAAAACGUCCAACCAUAGUAUCCUUGUGUCACAUUGUUGAAUCAUGCCGUAUCACUUUAAAUUGUUCUGUGUUGAAUCAGAUUGUGUUGAAUCAUGUUACUCUGUAUUGUCAUUGGGGUCUUGGUCAUAUAGUCUGGUAUAUGCUGCAUAAUUAUUUAUCUUUAAAGUACCAUGAUUCGAUUCAGGCCUCAGACCAGGGAUGCUCAACCCUGGUCUAGACCGUACUUUUUGCUACAUCAUUAACAAAAAACCCCAACAAUCUUAUCUUCACUUCACCUUUAACUCAGCAUUAAGUAACUCACUAAGGCAAGGAGAAACUUCCUUUGAAGAGGAAGAGUCAUUUAAUGCGUGUUGAAUAUUUUACUAAAAAACCAGCAGACUCAAAGCAGGCAGACAGACAGAGCAGGAUGUCACCCCAGGUCUUUCUGUAGUGUGUUAUAGCUCAGACUUUGUGUGGCAAAAUUAGAAGAGGUUACACAACACAAGACAGCUCUUAGCUGUAAAGUUUGCUUCGUCAUAUGAAACGUUUAAUAUAACUUUUUUUGAAACAAAUUACCCAAAUUUGAAAAGGGGAAAAGGAUAAAAUAGACUAAAAGUUAAUUGGUUUGCAUAUUCACCCCAAUUAUUUGACCUUCAUCAAAACUGAAACAAGCAAAAGUUCAUUCUUAAACUCGUGUGUAAAGGAGUUGAACUCCAGGAGGACUUUAAGAGUUGGCCUGGAUUGGUUGAUGCAGAGUACAUCAAAGGCUGAGUUUCUCUUUUGCACCAUUACCCUGAUCACUGAACUGCAUUACCCAAGGACCCUCAGUAGAUUCUUCUUGGCUCUUCUUUGUCCUCUGAAGACAUUUCAAAAAGACGUUUUCAUUUAAAGAAACUAUACCUAAGAGAUCACUGUGAGGUUACACAGAUCUCCAGGUGAAAAAAGAAUCGUUCAAAUCACAGUCAUAUAGAUUUAUAAAUGUGUGUUUUAUUACCACUUCAUGUAAUGGUAGAACAUUUAAAAAUAUAUUUAUCUAGUAAGAUAAUCCACCCUGUACUUCAGUGAUAACUUGGCAGUGAUGUAGAAAAGGCUAAUUGACAUGAGCUCAAGUUCACAGACAAGAAAUGAUUUUUACACUCAGGAGAUUAAUGCAAUUUUUAAAAUGUACUUGUGAAUAUUGGAUUCCAUUUCUAUGAAGUCUACUCUGCUAAAUCCAGCUAAUUAUUUAACUCUGUUUCUUUAAACAUUACCAACUUUGCUAUUUGACACCAGAGUUAUUACUCAACUUUAAUAAUAACUAAUAUUUCUAUUGCUGUUGGUCCAAAAUGCUGGCCAUAUGUUGUGCACAUAGACUAUGGACAACUUGGUUCCGUCUUCCGUCAUUAUACAUAUUUUGGAAGCCAAAUUGCUCUCUGUAUUUCCGGGAUCUUCUCCACUUGCUGGAACCACCACUUGCGCAGUAGUGUUGUACGCAUUCAGCGGGAGAGUCACCGAGAGUCGCAGUGAUGAUGCUGCGUAUCCCCUGGGUGAGCUACGCAAUCUUUAUACGCUCAUAGGCUGUAUCAAGUGUCAAUCAUAGAAAACAUGAACCCCCUAAUAACUUUUAAAAAUGGAGCUGAACAGAAAGAAAGAGGACUUGAGCACAAACCAGUCUUACAGUAACUACUUGUCAACAUCGCAACUGGGGGGGAGAAAAAUUUAUAGUCUGUGUAAUUAAUUUCUAAAAUUUGUCCACAGUUCCAUAGGGAUUGCUGGAGAAGGCGGGAUUUAUGACCUAUACUGCAGCCCGUCACUAGAGGGUGCUGUUCUCGCGGUGGCUUCACCCUGUGAGGAGGCAGAUGAUGUCCAUUCUAUACACUGUUUAUGGUUGUGCAAAUGCAGUCAAGCCACCUGCCACUAGGAGCUGUUGCUCUGAUUAGAUGCUGCAACAAUGCGAUUUCAGUAUUGACAUGGAGAUAAAUUUGUAUUUUCUAGCAUAUCGGGGACUUCUGGCAUAUAACAGCCCAACUGGAGCAAUAAUUAACAGCACAGACAUGGUGACAGUGACCUGCUAGGAUGCCCAGAGGUUGGCGGUGCUCGUUUUGGUAGUGUUAGAAAACUGCUGCAAACUAUUAUGACAAACUUCAAGCACAGGUCUUUUUUUAUUUUUUAUUUUGAUAGCUUGAGCGUUUAGUCAGUGAAUAUAAAGUUUGGACGGAAAUGUAAGUGGCCUUUGUUUAUCUCAAGUAGCUUAUACAUACACACAGGUAUUACGUCACAUUGAGUAAAGGCAAAGAUUAACCUGGGGUGGUGAUUUAAGUAAAAUUAAAUUAUUGUGUAGUUUUCGUGGUGCUGUUCCCCACAUCAUGCACUGUAUAAGACACCAACUAUGAGCAAAUAUGCAGUAACCUUAAGUUAGCAUGUGUGAUGUGGAGCUUGUGCAGAGUUGGAGUAAAAUUGGAUCUGAAAUCCAACCAUAAGGCAGGAACGGCUAACUGAUCAACAGUCAGAUUGUGUUUCAUUGUUUCAUCCCGGGGCUCUGACUGAUAUGUUUACCAUAGAAAAAGAGUAGAGUGUGUUCGGAUGAGGUUGGAUAGGAGGUAAAAGCUUAUUAUUACAUUGGACACAGUAGCUUUGCAAAGGAAGGUGAAGCUAGGCCAGUUUAUCCACGGGCAUUUUUCUAUCAGAUUGUAACUCAGCAGCACUCCAACUGCAACUCCAACGCCUCUGUGGGCAGAUUGGCUUCACCUUCACACUCUCAAUCAGCUUUUCUAUCAUAGAGGUGUCACAUUAACAUACAUGCAUGCACACAUGACAUACAAAAUAGAUGGCAACUUGCAGAUGGGCAUGUUUGUGUGCGGGUAAACACACACGCACACACAUGCUCUCUACCCCUCCUCCAGCACCUCUCAAACCCAUUAUUGGCAGCAGUUCAGUGACGGCUGUGUGACUGCCAGUACUGCGGAUCUGCUCCUGGAGCGAGCUCUCCCCAUCAGCGCUGGCUUGAUUACCCUGAUGUAUGCACACCCAGACACUUGACAAUCUCUCAGCAUUUACAUAUGCAGCCUCAGCACUCCACACUACUUCUGAUCUGAGGUGUGUAUGUGUGUGUGCUAGAUUUACUGUUUAUGUGUGCGCGGGAGUGUGAGUGUUCAUAAGGCGAGUGGGAGAAGAUGAGGAGGAGAAAGGAAGAGAGAAAUGGCAGCUCUCGCUCGCUAAACGUAAAACAAACAAACUUUAAUCCGACGCCGAGCCCCUGCUCUUCAAAGCUGAGACGGAAGUCUGAAGGAGAGAGAGAGAGCCGCCUCACCUAAGGGUGUGCGACGCCGUAAACACACAAACAGAGCAUUUACCAGCCGGCCCGUUAUUCACUCUCAUGUCAAACACAUAGCACUCAGAACUAACUACCGCACACACUACCGGGGAUAGAGCAGUGUUAAAACCCUCACGAAAGCCUCCACUUGACUGAUGUUUUUCUUUCUUUUCAAAUGAAAAAUCAUCAUACAAACAACCCCCCCCACCCCAAAUCUGAUUCAAAAGGGCCUGCCUCUUGUUCUUUCUUUCUUUCCAUCUCUGUCAAUGUGAAGGAAGUGUCGAUGAGAGGCAUGGAGAGAUGGAAAGAGCGAAGGUCUGGGGAGUUGCACUGUGUCGAUCCUUUUUGGCUGGCGCUUCACAGGGAAACCAGGCUCGGCUGAUCAUCAUUAAAACGCACACAACUUGACAUGUUUAUUUAAUGGCUGCUCCCGGCAAAGACGGCAAGCUGCUGCUAUCUCUCACCGUCACAUGUUGAUCUACCACUGUGCCAUGUGUGUGAGUCAGGGUGUGUGUUAAUCUUUGCAUAUGUGACUUGAACUCUUCUCUACAUGAAGAUUUCUGACUCUCUGAUACUCAAUCAGGUUAGGCCACUUUCUGUUUGGAGUGAGAAGUAAACAAUCUAAAUAACACUGCAACGUUCAGGAAAGAUUGCAAGAAGCUGAAAAUGUUGUAGAGAUUUCCAGCUCCCCGAAAUCUCUGAAUUGUUCUCGUUUUGAGUUAAAACACCAUAGUGGUGCCACCAUGCUGCUCUCCUGAUUUCUCUUCCAAAAGCUCAUAUAAACACUUUUGAUGGCUUCAGAUUACAUUGGCCAACAAUCCAAAAAGUGCCACACACUGUUUGACUAAAGCACCCUAAAUUGUUACUUGAAAGUUUCAAAAGCAAUGUCAUUUUUAUAAACCACAGUUAGAAAUAAAUACACCAAUUUUAAUGAGUUUAUGUAGCCCAGCUUCUUAAAAAAGGGCAUAAGAAAAUUUCUUUUUUCUUUCUAAGCCAGGCUUUAUUACAUAGAAACAGGAUUUAUAUGCAGCACCACAGCCAAAGCAUCUCUUAGGUUAAACUGUCUAAGUUUAUGUCAACGUGAUAUCAAUAAAUAUUCAUGUGUAAGGUUUAUCAGAGUUCAAGUUGUGCAGUUGUUUGCUCAAUUGAAAAGUAAACAUAUAACUCUAACAUAUUGUCCAAUUUUUUAAAGAUAUGCUGCAGUUAUGUUAUGUAAGUAUAGAUCAUGGAAACAGGAACACUUUAGCAGUUAUGUCAUUGUUUCUGCCCCCCAAUGGAGUCAUUCUAAAUAUUUUACAGUAAAAAUCAAACCUAUUUCUCUUCCACGACCAACACAUGACCUUUCACCAUGGUAUCGCUCAGCUUGUUUAGUCCUAUUCCCUGCAGUUGAGAAAUACUUCAGAACCGCUGUGGUGCAAUGGGAGAGUCAGGUGUCUCCUGUUUGGGAAAAAUGGUGGUCCCAUCCCAGGUCUUGCUGUGUACUUGCUUAAGUGUCCUUGAGCAACCCCAGACUGGCUGUGCCCAGCAGUGUGUGAAUGGGAUUAGAUAAUACUGAUAAUAAUGUCAACAGCCAUCUGUGUAUAUGUGACAUGUGAUACAAAAGUUUGAGAGGUCAGAAAACCAGAGAAAGUGAUAUACAAGCAGUCAGUAUACUGUCAUUUUCUUCUGUUGGGACUAUUGUGUUGCACUUUUUACUUGGCUUGAUCAAUCCAUUUUACUGAAGGUGCAGUAGCCAGAUCAGUUUUUAUGCAACUCCUGCAACUCAUGCAUGGUCCUGCCUCCAGUUACAUUUCUGACCUCCUUGAUUCAGAUUUUGUGUACUCUGAUUAUCUGCAAAAGUAAAAGCAAUUGUGCAUUUGCCCUCUUCCUCUGAAAUCAACUCUUACAAUCCAUCAGGACUGCAGGAUCUUUGGGAUCUCUCAAAAAGCUCCUAAAAACUCAUGUGCACACAGAAGCACUUACAUAAACCUCAGUUCUCCCGUUUGGGUUGCUUGUUCCUGUUUUGGAACAACUUUGACUUAUUCGUAUACAACUUAUAAUUCAGUUGCUUUUGUACCCUCCUGUGCAUGGGGAGUUCAAUAUUACUAAGUGUUUUAAAUGUGCUAUUUAAUAAAAAUAAAUGUUGGAGGGCCAAUGGCCUAGCGGUCUCAUCACCACUCUGAUUCCUACAACCGCAAGGCAUUUAGUGGCCUGACCCACCACUACCUCCUCCAACGCUGCCUCUGUUUCUGUCUCCUAUGCAAAAUAUACAUUAUCACUAGCAUCUCCACAGUCGCCAUGUUUCUUUUUGUUUGUUGUUAACAGAAACUUUUGACUCCAGCCUGCCCCCUGGUGGAUGUAAUGGUUAACACCCACACCAACGUAGAGGACGCAUGGAAGUAUGAGGACAGUGACGG